rnacentral:tRNA from 1 species
GCCCAGGUAGCUCAGUUGGUAGAGCAGGGGAUUGAAAAUCCCCGUGUCGGCGGUUCGAUUCCGUCCCUGGGUACCA